UACGAAGGGGGCUAGCGUUGCUCGGAAUCACUGGGCGUAAAGGGUGCGUAGGCGGGUCUUUAAGUCAGGGGUGAAAUCCUGGAGCUCAACUCCAGAACUGCCUUUGAUACUGAGGAUCUUGAGUUCGGGAGAGGUGAGUGGAACUGCGAGUGUAGAGGUGAAUUCGUAGAUAUUCGCAAGAACACCAGUGGCGAAGGCGGCUCACUGGCCCGAUACUGACGCUGAG
rnacentral:rRNA from 1 species